rnacentral:rRNA from 1 species
UACGUAGGGUGCGAGCGUUGUCCGGAAUUAUUGGGCGUAAAGAGCUUGUAGGUGGCUCGUUGCGUCGGGAGUGAAAACCUGCGGCUUAACCGCAGGCCUGCUUCCGAUACGGGCGAGCUAGAGUUCGGCAGGGGAGACUGGAAUUCCUGGUGUAGCGGUGGGAAUGCGCAGAUAUCAGGAGGAACACCGGUGGCGAAGGCGGGUCUCUGGGCCGAUACUGACACUGAGAAGCGAAAGCGUGGGGAGCGAACAGGA